ACCUUAGAGACCAAGUAAGUUUGUUCUGGGUAUAAGCUUUUGCCUGUAUGCACACUUCUUCAGAUACCUGAAGACGUUAUUGUUAUCUGAAGAAGUGUGCAUGCACACAAAAGCUUAUACCCAGAACAAACUUACUUGGUCUCUAAGGU